CCAGACCUGCAACUCCUUUGCCUGCUACAUGAUGACAGCUGCCUCAGGGAUUUCCUGUGUGUCCCUGCUUGUAUUCUGAUUCUGCCCAGCUACAUCACUUUCUGCCUGGCCAAUCAGCAAAUCAGUGUUUAUUUAUUAACAAAUAAGAGAAACAUAUACACAGAAGGACUUCCCCCAUUGCCUAACCAUGAGGAUGAAAAAUAACUAGUCAGUAAAGAAAAGCAUUGAACUUCAUAAAAACUAAAAAUGUUUGCUUGCCAAAUAGCACUGUUAAAAAGAAAAUUCUUGGGCUGGGUGUGGUGGCUCAUGUCUUUAUUCCUAGCUCUUAGGAGGCAGAAGAAGGGCAAUUUCUGAAAGUUUCAGGAAAUCUAGUGGUUGUAGGACAGUCAGAGGCUACACGAUGAAAACAAAGAAAAAAAUUAAUACUUUCCUUUCCCCAAUCAGUGAGCGUGUGUAUGCUUGUGUGUCUGUGCUUGUGUAUGUGUGUAAGAGAGGGGGUGGUGAUUGGGAAGGCAACACAGGAAUAUCUGCCAAUAAUAAGACAAAUCACUCAUUUUAAAACAAUGAGAAUAAAACACCUAGGCACUACAAAUAGCCUAUAAGAAUAUGAAAAGUGAUAAAAAGUACUAGUCAUCAAGGAAAUAUAAAUAAAACCUGAGUGAGGUAUCUCAUACCUAUAAGAAUGUUUGAGAGGGCUAGAGAGAGCUCAGUGGUUGGAGAACUGACUGCUCUUCUAGAGGAACCUGAUUCUCAGAACUCACAUGUGGCUCACAACCAUAUGUAACUACAGUUCCAAGAAAUAUGAUACUCCAUGCUAGCCUCUGUGGAUACUGGGCGUACACAUGGUUCACAGGCAUGCAUGUAUGAAUACACACACACACACACAGAGUAAAUAAAUCUUUUUUAAAAUUUUAAGUAUUGACAAGAAUAUGAUGUAAAUGCAGAUUAAUAUUGUAUAUUGUUGAUAAGACUAUAAAAUGGUAACAAUGAUGAUGAGGAAAUGUUUGAAAAUUCUUAUACUAUAAAACAUACACCUACCUACAUUCUUGCCUAGUAACUUACCCAGUAGAAAUAAAAGCAGAUGCAUGCAAAAUGAUUUGUAUAGGAAUGUUUAUAGCUGUUUUUUUCAUAAUAACCAAAAACUGUAGAGAUUUAAAUGUCAUCAAGUAGGAGAGAACAGAUAAACAGGUUGUGGUAUAGUCACACAUUGUAAUAUUCCUCGGCAAUUAGAGGGAGUAACUUCUGAAACACACAAUAUGGAUGCAUCUCAUAGCCACUAUGUUGAGUCACAAGCCAGACACAAACAAAUGUAUAAUGCGUAUUUCCAUUUCUAUGGAGUCCAAGAACAGAUGAGGGGAAUCUACAAUCCCAGCAGUCAGAAGAAGAGAGAUGAAUUGACAGAAAGCUCAGGGGAAACUCCUGUUGACCUCUGUUUCUUGAAAAGUAUGCCCAUGUGGGUAUCUAUGUUUGGGAAAAACAACGUAAAGUUGCUCACUGAAGAUCUGUGGGUUCCAGUGUGUGUGCAUUUUAUUUAAGAGAGAUGUAAAAAGUGAAGGUAGCCAUGCCAAAGUUCUCUGAAGAAGAACCGAGCUGAUGCUGAUUUUUCCAGGUGCCCACUCUGCCUUUCCUAGCCUCACUGUGAAUUCUUCCUGGCUCCUCCCCUCAACCUCCAUUUGAGGCUCUUGCUUCUCUCCAGAUGUAGCCCCAGUCUACGAAACGUUUCCACAGAUGAAGAAUAACGGAAGUCAGGAAAGAAGCUGAAAUCAGUCACUUGAAGUUCCUUCCUUGUGUGACAGAAAAAAAGACCACUGUCCAGAGUCAAAUGAGAAGCAUGGCAUAUACCAGACAGGAAUGGCUACUUCUAACUCUGGAUUGUAAAGUGAUGAAGUCAUACGGAGCAGAACAGAGCUCCAGUCAAACAACAUAGGGGAAGCUUGCCAGAGGAGGCAAAGCCAGCAUGAGAGCAACGAGUGUUUCUGAGGACUCACCUGAAGAAUGGAGCCCUCUCUGGAACGUUCCUAUGGAUGUUAGUCUCCCUCACUGAAGCAAAAAGGAAUUCAUUCAGGAAAAGCUUCACUCCAUAUGAAAACAGUUUUACUUUUAUUAAAAGAGACCCGGUAAGAGCUGAGCGUUCCUUUCACAAUGUGUUCUUCGCGGAGGACGACUGUUGCGAAACCACCGUUUGCUUGCUCGCAAAGAAGGAAGGUGAGCUAACACCUACUUAGAACCAGCAACAACAAAAAAGUUAUUGCUUAGAAAACAAGAGUCUUCCAGAUGAAAAUGCCAUGCAUUUAUCAAGGAUCGGACUUCAUCGCAUUUUCUCUAUGAUGGACAAUUUCAAGUUUUUUAAAACACCCCUUUGCUUUGAGCCACCAGGGAGGAAGAAAACAUCUUCUCAGGCAUCUAUGGCUGAUAGCAUCAGUAAUAAUAACAGAAGCGAAAGCUAAGCACAGAACAGUACAAACCCCAUCGCACCUCCAGCUGAAUAGGCCAGGGGAAGUGAUUGACUUGCCAGCAUGAAGAAGCCAGGUACUCCACAGAGGAUUCCCCAUGGCCUGGUGGAGCCGUAGGGACGUCUGAAAGACACUGAUGCUAGCAUUCCUAUGAGUAGAGCGUCUCCAUCAGGGUGCAGGUUCUGUGGAGAACUCAUCCAGUCUCCUUUGUCUGCACUACUGCUCCAGACAUCGAAUCAUGCUAACAUCAAGGCUUACACGAGGGUGGUAGAGGUGGCUCAGUGGUUAAGAAAACUAGAUGCUCUUCCAGAGCACCUGAGUUGCAUUCCCAGCGGCCACAUGGUGGCUCACAGCCAUCCGUAACUCCACGGGAUCUGGCCCCUUCUUUGGGCCUCCACAGGCACUGUAUGCAUGUGAUACAUACACAUACAUGCAGGCAAAACACUCAUACACAUACGACAAAAAGGAUUAUAUAUGAGAGGACACUUUCUAAAAAUAUUUUUCUCCUUUGUGUUUAUUCUUUGUGCCUUUCACAUUUUUGCGUCUCCAUCCCAUUCAUUUCCCCAUCCUAGAUCUUUUCUUAUCCAGUUUCAUUUACUUUCUUCUUUCCUGUGCAUGUGUGUAUGUGCAUGUGUGUGUGUGUGUGUCUGGGUGUUGGGGAACAUGCACAUAUAUGCAUGUAAAGACUAGAGAACAGUCACAGAAGUCAUCUGGAACAUCAUCUACCUCCUUUGAGACGGGGUGUCGCCUCAUCGGCCUGGAGCUCACCAAUUAGAUGAGAAUGGCUAUCCAGAGAGCCCCAGGGACCUGCCUGUCCCUGCCUCCCAGUUGUGGGAUUGUAAGCACAUGUUACCACACCUGGCAUUGGGGGAAUUGUUUUAUUUUUGAACAUUUUAUUUAAUAUUCAUACAUGCAUAAAUUGUGUUUUGAACAAACCCAUCUACAUUCCCUCCUUUCCCUUUGCCCACCUAUCACAAGUUUUCUGGUACAGGCAUGUCUAUGUGGGUGCUAGAAUCAUAUCAUAAA